AGUGAACGCUGGCGGUAGGCCUAACACAUGCAAGUCGAACGGCAGCACAGUAAGAGCUUGCUCUUACGGGUGGCGAGUGGCGGACGGGUGAGGAAUACAUCGGAAUCUACUUUUUCGUGGGGGAUAACGUAGGGAAACUUACGCUAAUACCGCAUACGACCUACGGGUGAAAGCAGGGGAUCUUCGGACCUUGCGCGAUUGAAUGAGCCGAUGUCGGAUUAGCUAGUUGGCGGGGUAAAGGCCCACCAAGGCGACGAUCCGUAGCUGGUCUGAGAGGAUGAUCAGCCACACUGGAACUGAGACACGGUCCAGACUCCUACGGGAGGCAGCAGUGGGGAAUAUUGGACAAUGGGCGCAAGCCUGAUCCAGCCAUACCGCGUGGGUGAAGAAGGCCUUCGGACUGUAAAGCCCUUUUGUUGGGAAAGAAAAGCAGCAGGUUAAUACCCCGCUGUUCUGACGGUACCCAAAGAAUAAGCACCGGCUAACUUCGUG
rnacentral:rRNA from 1 species